rnacentral:rRNA from 1 species
CCUGAGUACGACGGAGCACGUGAAAUUCCGUCGGAAUCUGGGAGGACCAUCUCCUAAGGCUAAAUACUCUCUAGUGACCGAUAGUGAACCAGUACCGUGAGGGAAAGGUGAAAAGCACCCCGGAAGGGGAGUGAAAUAGAACCUGAAACCGUGUGCUUACAAGUAGUCAGAGCCCGUUAAUGGGUGAUGGCGUGCCUUUUGUAGAAUGAACCGGCGAGUUACGAUUUGAUGCAAGGUUAAGCAGUAAAUGUGGAGCCGUAGCGAAAGCGAGUCUGAAUAGGGCGUUUAGUAUUUGGUCGUAGACCCGAAACCAGGUGAUCUACCCUUGGUCAGGUUGAAGUUCAGGUAACACUGAAUGGAGGACCGAACCGACUUACGUUGAAAAGUGAGCGGAUGAACUGAGGGUAGCGGAGAAAUUCCAAUCGAACCUGGAGAUAGCUGGUUCUCUCCGAAAUAGCUUUAGGGCUAGCCUCAAGUGAUGAUUAUUGGAGGUAGAGCACUGUUUGGACGAGGGGCCCCUCUCGGGUUACCGAAUUCAGACAAACUCCGAAUGCCAAUUAAUUUAACUUGGGAGUCAGAACAUGGGUGAUAAGGUCCGUGUUCGAAAGGGAAACAGCCCAGACCACCAGCUAAGGUCCCAAAAUAUAUGUUAAGUGGAAAAGGAUGUGGCGUUGCCCAGACAACUAGGAUGUUGGCUUAGAAGCAGCCAUCAUUUAAAGAGUGCGUAAUAGCUCACUAGUCGAGUGACACUGCGCCGAAAAUGUACCGGGGCUAAACAUAUUACCGAAGCUGUGGAUUGUCCUUUGGACAAUGGUAGGAGAGCGUUCUAAGGGCGUUGAAGCAUGAUCGUAAGGACAUGUGGAGCGCUUAGAAGUGAGAAUGCCGGUGUGAGUAGCGAAAGACGGGUGAGAAUCCCGUCCACCGAUUGACUAAGGUUUCCAGAGGAAGGCUCGUCCGCUCUGGGUUAGUCGGGUCCU